GGCAAGGAGCGGCUAUAGUGGCAAAGCCCGGGCUGAGGGGCUGAGGAACGCCGGUCAGAGUACAGAGACUGGCUGGAGGCUGUGUCUCCAGAAGCCGGCGUGGGCGCAGGUCUGGGUCUCUCUGCGUGAAGGAAGAUGACAGUCGGGAGGGGAGCCACCACGGAGACAAGCAGUCACGAGAGCUAUGAGGAGCGGCUGGCAGAGAGGUGUUUGUGGUGAUUUAUAGGAGCCGAGGGCUGCAGAGAGGGAUGUGGAUGUUAUCAGCUCGGUGGAUUAAAUGCCCAUUUACAUUGUUAUUGACAUAUAAAUUAUCUGUGCCAAGCAGACAUUGAGGCAGAGAAAUCCCGGGGCAGGAAUGCGGCACACGCCCCAGGAUAUGGACUCUUCUUUGCCCAAAUCUGUCCUUUGGGCUCUCGUAAAGUGAAUUGCAGACCUGGAGUGAAACCCUGGUCCUCAUCCUCAAGAUGUCAGUGGCAGCCUCCUUCACCUCCAAGGCACCGUUGGCCAGCCAGGUUCCCAAGUGGCUUUCAAGAAGAUGGCAAGACCUUUGAAGAGAUAGCACAAUCUCCCCUCUGGUGGGACCUUGUCUGGUGUGCACUCGUAGGUGUUGUGUGGGUCACUUGGAUCUGCUGUGGAUUUAGAAUAUCGCUGAAGGAGAUUUUAUGCCUGGGAAAUGGAACCGAUUUCUGAGUCAAGCCAACAGCAGAAGAGAAAGGCAGUCACUCAUGGACUGGAAGACCAAAAGAGGAUAAUGGCAGCUGAAGAGAAAGAGGGCAAGUUAAAGGUGAUCCGCCCACAGCUGUCUUCUCUGGAAGUGCCCCGAGGACACUCAUCAGGUGUGAUGUUCCCCUCCUGACAACAUGGAGUCCCAGGGGCAAGCUCCCACAAGUCCCAUGAGGCGCCCUGGGCACAUCAGCGUUGGGUCCCCUCUUGCCUUCCUGUCCUGCCCACAUGGGGUUUCUUUCAGAAACCAAGUCACAGAGGCCUCAGACCAGAAGAGGGCAGGACCCGGUGGUAAGAAGCGACAAGCGGGACUUCCAUAGAACAAUGUGAGGUGCACUCUCACCCUGAACUCUUGGGGAAGGGUCUAGGCCCUGCCCUAUAUGAAAUGACAGACUAUGGACACCCCCAUGGAGGGCCUCACCCUCCCUGGGAG